CGGCAAACUUUUGGACCUCCUCGCACUACAAGCAACUCCUUGACCCCGACAAGGUCGACGUGGUCCACCGCCUCGACAAGGAGAAAGGCCUCACCUUGGAAGAAUUUCGUCUCAUCAAGAUCCACAUGAGCAUCCAUAUUUGGAGGUUGGCUUUACAUGUCAAAGUAAGACAA